UACGUAGGGUGCGAGCGUUGUCCGGAAUUAUUGGGCGUAAAGAGCUCGUAGGCGGUCUGUCGCGUCGAUCGUGAAAACUUGGGGCUUAACCCUGAGCUUGCGGUCGAUACGGGCAUGACUGGAGUUCGGCAGGGGAGACUGGAAUUCCUGGUGUAGCGGUGGAAUGCGCAGAUAUCAGGAGGAACACCGGUGGCGAAGGCGGGUCUCUGGACAGUUCCUGACACUGAGGCACGAAGGCCAGGGGAGCAAACGGG
rnacentral:rRNA from 1 species